AUCCAGCUGACGAGUCCCAGCUGGAACUAAACGUGCGUCGUGAAU
rfam:Schistosoma mansoni strain Puerto Rico chromosome 1, complete genome